rnacentral:rRNA from 1 species
AGCGGCGGACGGGUGAGUAAUGUCUGGGAAACUGCCUGAUGGAGGGGGAUAACUACUGGAAACGGUAGCUAAUACCGCAUAACGUCUUCGGACCAAAGUGGGGGACCUUCGGGCCUCACGCCAUCGGAUGUGCCCAGAUGGGAUUAGCUAGUAGGUGGGGUAAUGGCUCACCUAGGCGACGAUCCCUAGCUGGUCUGAGAGGAUGACCAGCCACACUGGAACUGAGACACGGUCCAGACUCCUACGGGAGGCAGCAGUGGGGAAUAUUGCACAAUGGGCGCAAGCCUGAUGCAGCCAUGCCGCGUGUGUGAAGAAGGCCUUCGGGUUGUAAAGCACUUUCAGCGAGGAGGAAGGCAGUCGUGUUAAUAUCACGAUUGAUUGACGUUACUCGCAGAAGAAGCACCGGCUAACUCCGUGCCAGCAGCCGCGGUAAUACCGAGGGUGCAAGCGCUAAUCGCAAUUACUGGGCGUAAAGCGCACGCAGGCGGUUUGUUAAGUCA